rnacentral:rRNA from 1 species
AGUGAACGCUGGCGGUAGGCCUAACACAUGCAAGUCGAACGGCAGCACAGUAAGAGCUUGCUCUUACGGGUGGCGAGUGGCGGACGGGUGAGGAAUACAUCGGAAUCUACUUUUUCGUAGGGGAUAACGUAGGGAAACUUACGCUAAUACCGCAUACGACCUACGGGUGAAAGCAGGGGAUCUUCGGACCUUGCGCGAUUGAAUGAGCCGAUGUCGGAUUAGCUAGUUGGCGGGGUAAAGGCCCACCAAGGCGACGAUCCGUAGCUGGUCUGAGAGGAUGAUCAGCCACACUGGAACUGAGACACGGUCCAGACUCCUACGGGAGGCAGCAGUGGGGAAUAUUGGACAAUGGGCGCAAGCCUGAUCCAGCCAUGCCGCGUGGGUGAAGAAGGCCUUCGGGUUGUAAAGCCCUUUUGCUGGGAAAGAAAAGCAGCAGGUUAAUACCCCGCUGUUCUGACGGUACCCAAAGAAUAAGCACCGGCUAACUUCGUG